rnacentral:lncRNA from 10 species
GGUCAAGCUGGUCUCGAACUCCUGACCUCAGGUGAUCUGCCCGCCUCGGCCUCCCAAAGUGUUGGGAUUACAGGCGUGAGCCACUGCGCCCAACCAUGUCUGCUGUUUUAAGUCAUUAGGUGGGUGGUGAUUUGUUAUAGUAGCCAGUGGAGGCUCACACAUCCUCAGAGCACAGGGACAGAGGGACAGAACAUGGGGCAUCGGGGGAAGAUGGGGUGGCAGACAGUGGAGAAACUGAUGGGACUCACCCAGGACUGUGUGUGAGGCCCUCCCUUCCCGCAGGCCCCACGUUUGGUUCUUGGGGUUGGAAUAGAAUUGCCCCGACAUGAAAGAAGUCACCAACUAUGGCCACUGAGCCUCCCUCUAUGGUCACAUAACCUGCCUCCUCCAUCAGACUGGGGUCCCCCGAGGGCAGAUGCCUCCUCCAUCAGAUAGGGUCUCCCUGAGGGCAGAGGCCUCCUCCGUCAGACUGUGGCCCCUCUGUGGGUAGAUGCCUCCUCCGUCAGACUGGGGUCUCCCUGGGGGCAGGGGCCUCCUCCAUCAGCCUGGGAUCUCUGUGAAGGCAGAUGCCUCCUCCAUCAGACUGGGGUCUCCCUGAAGACAGGGGCUCUCCCUCCUCCCUCAGUCUCUGCUCUGCCCAGAUGUAGCCCCUCAGCCCCCUUCCCCCGCCUCCCCAGGGUCCCCACAGCCCCCACUGCCCAGCUAUUUCGGUUCCACAUCUGCCUGCCUGGGCCCGGCGUGGCUGCGCGGUUUUCCCUGAGGCAGCGCAGCGGACACUGAGCAGCCAAGGAGGAGACACUGGCCUAGGUGUAAUUAACACCCGCUGCUCCCAGCAGGGUUGGGGGAGCCUGGGGGCCGAGGCCUGCUUUGGGGGGUGUCUGAGGACACGCCCCUGCCAUCAGGCACUGAAUCCAACGUCAAUGGUCCCCAUGUGCCGAGAGCUUUACGUAAAUUAACUCCUACUGCCCGGGAGCCUGGUCCUAUCGUUAUCCCUGUGUGUCAGAGGGAAACUGAGGCAUGGGGCAGUGAGAGGACCCCCCCCCACCCAAGGCCACACAGCAGGCAGCAGAGCCAGGACUUGGGUCCAGCGCCCACGCCUCUGACCAGUAGGAUCUGGCUUCCCUGGAUGUGAGCCUGGUAUACAUGCGGAGCCGAAUUAAUGACCCUCCGGCCUCCUCUGAGACCAGAGUGGUGAGGGAUUCAGCAAAUGCUUAAUAAGCACCCUGGGUACUGCGAUGGACGUGGUGAGACGGGGCUGGAGGAGCCGGGCUGGUGAGGUUGGGCCCCGGGCCUGGUGUUGCUGAAGGUGCCUCUCCAUGAUCAAUUGUCAGUCACUCAACAAGCAUCAGCUAAGCACCUACUGCAUGCAGAUGCUGGCAACCCCCCCAUGGGAACCUGACAGCCCCACAGGCUCACGGCCUAGCGGGGUGGAACCUAAUGUCGCCAAGAAAAUGAAACAGAGAGUGGAGGCCCAGGGGACUUUGUCCGGACCAGGCAGGGACCAAGGCAGGCAGCUCACUCCAGGUUUAUUUCAGGGCAGUUUGGGGGUGGGGGACAAAGACCCCCCUCCAGCUCCUAAACUGGGUCACUUUUCUCCCAGGUGAAGGGUUUGAGGGCUGCACAGGGACCCCCAGCACUGGGAGUU